GGCGGCAUGCCUUACACAUGCAAGUCGAACGGUAACAGGUUAAGCUGACGAGUGGCGAACGGGUGAGUAAUAUAUCGGAACGUGCCCAGUAGUGGGGGAUAGCCCGGCGAAAGCCGGAUUAAUACCGCAUACGACCUACGGGUGAAAGCGGGGGAUCGCAAGACCUCGCGCUAUUGGAGCGGCCGAUAUCAGAUUAGCUAGUUGGUGGGGUAAAAGCCCACCAAGGCGACGAUCUGUAGCUGGUCUGAGAGGACGACCAGCCACACUGGGACUGAGACACGGCCCAGACUCCUACGGGAGGCAGCAGUGGGGAAUUUUGGACAAUGGACGCAAGUCUGAUCCAGCCAUGCCGCGUGCGGGAAGAAGGCCUUCGGGUUGUAAACCGCUUUUGUCAGGGAAGAAAAGUCUGGGGCUAAUACCCUCGGAUGAUGACGGUNCCUGAAGAAUAAGCACCGGCUAACUACGUGCCAGCAGCCGCGGUAAUACGU
rnacentral:rRNA from 1 species